CUUCAAGGUACAAGGCAUGACCUUAAGGGGCUGUGAGUGCUUCUUAUGCUAUAAAUAAGAGCUCAUAGCAAGCCAUCAAACUCACAAAUCUUCAGCCAUCUCCUUCUCUCUACAUCUUUGUGUAAAUCUCUCUCACUUACACUCUCUUUACCACUCUCGGUACACACACAAACACCACAUACAAACACCACUUCACCACCCUUAACCACCUCUUACGCUGUUUGAUAUUGCCGCUGAAACUAAAUAAAUCUCGACGAUUCGUCUUCACGGCAAUACAUCUCGAUUUUUCUCGCAACAAUUACUCGACAACCACACAUUAAGGGGAUCAUUAGCCAGCCGUUCAGACAGAAGAUUAGCUGUGGAUUGCAGAUGACCUAGCUAGCUUGUUUUUGAUACAUGCUUACCUGUUUAAGGCAACUACUGUACUAUUAUUAUCUGUAAGAACCUUGUAUUCAAACUUAAUGAUGGAAUACAAAUGCAGUUUUGUUUA